AUUGAACGCUGGCGGCAGGCCUAACACAUGCAAGUCGAGCGGAUGAGUGGAGCUUGCUCCAUGAUUCAGCGGCGGACGGGUGAGUAAUGCCUAGGAAUCUGCCUGGUAGUGGGGGACAACGUUUCGAAAGGAACGCUAAUACCGCAUACGUCCUACGGGAGGAAAGUGGGGGAGUCUUUGGACCUCACGCUAUCAGAUGAGCCUAGGUCGGAUUAGCUAGUUGGUGAGGUAAAGGCUCACCAAGGCGACGAUCCGUAACUGGUCUGAGAGGAUGAUCAGUCACACUGGAACUGAGACACGGUCCAGACUCCUACGGGAGGCAGCAGUGGGGAAUAUUGGACAAUGGGCGAAAGCCUGAUCCAGCCAUGCCGCGUGUGUGAAGAAGGUCUUCGGAUUGUAAAGCACUUUAAGUUGGGAGGAAGGGCAGUAAGUUAAUACCUUGCUGUUUUGACGUUACCAACAGAAUAAGCACCGGCUAACUUCGUGCC
rnacentral:rRNA from 1 species